rnacentral:rRNA from 1 species
GAUGAACGCUGGCGGCGUGCCUAAUACAUGCAAGUCGAGCGAACAGACGAGGAGCUUGCUCCUCUGACGUUAGCGGCGGACGGGUGAGUAACACGUGGAUAACCUACCUAAGACUGGGAUAACUUCGGGAAACCGGAGCUAAUACCGGAUAAUAUAUUGAACCGCAUGGUUCAAUAGUGAAAGACGGUUUUGCUGUCACUUAUAGAUGGAUCCGCGCCGCAUUAGCUAGUUGGUAAGGUAACGGCUUACCAAGGCGACGAUGCGUAGCCGACCUGAGAGGGUGAUCGGCCACACUGGAACUGAGACACAGUCCAGACUCCUACGGGAGGCAGCAGUAGGGAAUCUUCCGCAAUGGGCGAAAGCCUGACGGAGCAACGCCGCGUGAGUGAUGAAGGUCUUCGGAUCGUAAAACUCUGUUAUUAGGGAAGAACAAAUGUGUAAGUAACUAUGCACGUCUUGACGGUACCUAAUCAGAAAGCCACGGCUAACUACGUG